rnacentral:misc_RNA from 1 species
GCCAAGACUAACGACAGUGAGAAAAGUAAUCCGGCAGCCCAUUUCUCGUAGCGAAUAUUUUGUAUUCGCUUUGAAUCUGUUAAUGGUAGAAAUUUCCAAAAUGGACUGAAGAUAUCGAGUAAAAUUGUCGUUUUAAGUUUAAGAUUUAAGAAACAUGAAUGUUGAAAAGCUGAAUAAGUUGCAAGCCCAGGUUCGAAUUGGUGGUAAGGGAACAGCCAGAAGGAAGAAGAAAGUUGUACACAGAACUGCAACUACAGAU